rnacentral:lncRNA from 1 species
GAAAAUAAAGAAUACAAGCCUGGAUAUGAUUCUAAUCUCUGGUCAGUUCCUGCCAAUUGUGGAGUCUGGAAGCACGUUCAAUUCCUUUGGAUCCUUCACAGUGCCUAUCAUUGCAUGCCCUUAAGAAAUAUUUGUCUUGUUUUAAUGUUCAAGGUAAGUGAUUAUAUGGUAGAUCUUGGAAAAUAUAGAAGAUGCAGAAUGACAGAAAAAAUAAUUAGUCCAAAAAAUUGAAGAUUUGGAUUCAAACUUCUGAUUUCUAAACCAGAGGCUCCAAAUGCCAUUUUUUGGGUUAGUGUGCUUUCUGAACGGGCUGUGGACAGUAUUUGUCUUAUCAUUGUACCAGUGUGAAUGCAGCAUGAUUGACUCUAUGGAACCCAUGUAAAUCAGAAUUUACAAAUCAAUGAAAGUAGUAAGUUCCACAAUUCUCAUCCGUUGUCACCUAAUUAUAGCAUUGCCUAGGCUAUGCAGCUAAAAUUUAUUUCCUCUGACACAGUCCAAGAAUUACCUGCCCUCUCCAGAUAUCCUGAGAAACCAUCUAUGGUUCUUUUCCUGCAGUGACAGACAUGGACUUUGGUGCUUAACAUCUGUACCUCCUGGGCUCCCCGAGUCCCUCUGGAGCGUUUACUUGGUCCUAUAUAUAAUAAAUGUCCCCAUGCUUGUUUUUCCUAAGUGUGUUGUAUUAGACAUGUCACUACCGUUUCUCCUUCUCUUCCACUACUUCAGUGCUAAACCAGAUUAAUUUUCUCAUCAACAGCUCUGGCUAAGUGUUUAUUGAGCCUCUAUUAUAUGCUCGGACACUAUGCUAAGCACUUUACGUACAUUAUUUCUAACACAACCACAAUCCAGUAAGGUAGAGGGUAUUAUCCCCGUUUUCUAGGGGAGAAAAUUGCGCUAGGUCACCCGGAUGGUAAGUGUCAGAGCCAGACUUCUAACCUGAGUCAGUCUCUAGAACCCAUGGCUUCAACGCUGCCUCAGAAACACUUGCCAAAGGGAGAAUUUUGAGUUACGCAGACUUCAGAAGUGCAAGGAGAAUCUUGCAACUCCCUUCAGGCACUAAUCCAUCAGUUCUGAGGCUCCCUCCUUUUCAAGAAAGCCCAUCGAUCUAGCCCUGCCAUAGUGAUACCUAUUAGAACCACGAGGGUCCAUAUUUGCUUGCCAUCUUGCAGUUUGCAAAGGUUGGCCCAUGGGGAAUCAUAUUUUGUGUUCCAGAACAACUUGGGCUCAUCAUCCGCUGAACCUCCAAGCUGGGGCAGCAAGUUCUUUUCUGGCAGAAGAUUGCAGCUGCUACUAUUUACCCCCCAGGGGAUACACUGAAUCCCCAGCCUUACAGCUGGGAACACAGAUCUGGCUGUGCAAGCCUAUAAAAGAAAUCCUGACAAAAGAGGAGGAGUGUUCACAUGCCAGCCAUCCUGGUCACAGUGCACUGGGCAAUGAGCUCUCCUGCUGGAAGCUGUGCCGCAGAACCAAAGGCAUGGUCUUGGCCACCAAACCCACAGUCAGCACUCCUUAGUCAGCUGGGCCUUCCCAACACAUGUGCUCAUUCAAUUGUGCCAAGCGUGUGGUCUCCUAAUUUCUUUUCCUCUCUCUCACUCUCCCUCUUUCCCUCUACCCCCAACUUGCUCUUGUCCUUACAAGUUUCCUCCAGGUUUACACCUCAACCUCAUUGUAGGAUCCCAGCGGAUGCCAAGGCUUGCGUGGGUGGAAGAUUAUAAAUCAAAGCCUUAGACGCAGGCAUGAGGGAGGGGCCCCCGGAGGGUGGAAGGGCCACAACUUGAAAACAAAUGAGCCUCUUUCAUCCCAGAGGGAUUUUUGUUGUUGUUUUCUAAAGCCUGCUGUUCCGGCAGGGCGCUUCACCAGAAGCUGUGGUUUCUGGAACUUUCAGAAAGAGUAAGCACUAGCACAGUCGUCCAUGUGUGUGUCCUCUGACAGUUUCAGCAAAACUUGGGGGCCUGGAGAAGGUCUGUUACUUAAACAAGCCUCAGUUUCUCAUAUGUUUCCAUUUGAAGAGCAGCUUAAAGCAUAGCGUCAGUCAUCGUUUUCUCCGUAAUUAAUAAGUUUCACAGAAUGGCUGGAGGGGUCAGAUUUGAGAGAUCUGACUGGAUAGAACUUAAGAAAAAUUAAAUCUUGUCAGUUCUCAAUUGUUUGUCCUAGUGGAGGGGAUCCAGAGACAGAGAAUUCUAGUGGGACUUGAAUUCACUGUUCAUUUUCCUUUGGUUUUAUGAGGCAUUUUAGUAAUUAACAUUUUUAUAUGGGUGUGUCUCCGGUUCUGGGAAUUUACGACUGUUUACAUCAAAUAACAAAGCUACUCAGUAAAGAUGCUGACGGGGCUGGAAGGCUGUCAGAUGGUCUUCCAGCCUCAACUCUGCUCAGUGAGAGCUGGAAACAAAAUGGGCUUUGGCCUCAGACCAUGGAAGGUUUAAACCCCGAUGCUGCUGUGUGACUUUUCAGCUUCCUUACUUGAAAAAUUGGGAAAAUGAAAUACUAUCGAGUACCUCAAGCAUGGUAUCAGAGAAUAACCUCGGAAGUUGAGAGGGAGUUCUCAGACACAACGAUGAAGUGUAUCCAGCAGUCAACUGGGUGUUAUUUUAAUCUGGAUGGAUUAAAGACUUCCAUGAGUAGACCAGAGCUGCUAACCGGCUUGGGUUGGGGGGAGCUUCAGCAGCCUCUCUUUAUGACAUUCUGAGUAUAGAUUAAAAAGGGACUCAGCAGGACCCAAGAAGGUCACAGGCUAGAGUUAAGUCUCUUGCUGGAAUCUUCGCCAAUGAGCAACCAGCUCAGAAGGAAAGCAUACUUAGUGUUCCUAAGAGCCAUCCCAAAAAUUCAGGAUUUCUAUUAAGUGGUUGCUCCGUGGCUUAUCCUUAGUCAUCUUAACUUAUCCUGUGUGUUAAUACAUGAAUAAUUAUAGUUCUCAAUAAUUUGUUUGCAUUCUUACUAAGUGGCAGGUGUGGCCUUGAAUUCACCACAUUGCCUGAGAGGCUAGAUGGCAAGAAAAGCUCAUUUGGGCAGCCCUCCUACACAAAACCCUUGGCACCACUUGCACAAAUUUUGAAUUGGAGUGUGGGGGGACAAAAGAGGGGUUGGUCAGUAUCAGGCAGAAAGACGGAAACUAAGAACCCAAGCAUACGUGAUCAGCUGAAAAUACCAGAUGAGUUUCUGCAGUGUCUUCACCAUCCCAAUUAUAUAACAUGUUCUGAAAUAAGGAGUCACUCUUGAUCACUGAGGUAGAAUUGGGUCCUUGCACCCAUAAGCAAAAGAAAGCUUGACUAACUCGAUUGUACAUUCUUUACAAAGGGCACACUCGGUUUCAGGAUCAGGAAGUCUGUUGUACUAAAUGUUUAGAUCUGGUAUUACUUAGGAUAGAGGUUCAACAACUGACAAAGAGAUGCCAGAAUACAGUGGUUGUUCAGCAGUGUCAGGGGCCCAAUGUGUUUUCCUUGUUGUGCUGCCACCCUUGUCAAUACUUGGCUUCCGUUUGCAAUCCUGAGUGCGUGACUCCUCAGCUGCUCCAGCUCCAACUCUCACAUCUUCAUUCUAGCAGGAAAGGAGAAAGUGAAGACAUUCUUCUUUAAGGACAACAAUCUGGAUGUUACAUACAUCAACUUCUACUCCCAACUUAGGCCACAUCUACCUGCAAGGAAGGCAGGGAAACUUGGUGACCACGUGUCUUGCCGGAAGUUCUGUUAUAUAAGAAAAGAAGUACAGACUGGAGGACAACUGCAGUUUCUGCCAUGGUUCCCUUCUGUGGUUUUCCACUCCAAACCUACUGAAGAAUUCAAAGUGCUGAGCUAGAAGCUCCUGGAAUUCCCUGUGUACAGAAAACAUUGAAAACUAGAGGCAGUUUUACCCCCUCUGUUUUUGGACAGCAUGGGUAAUACAUGUUUAUUCUUAGGGGAAAAAAUAGAAAAUACACAAUGGUAAGAACUGAAGAACAAGCAUCCUGAGACUCCAUGCCCCAGUGAUGAUGCUAGGAUUUUGAUAUCUUCCCUGAUAGACUUGCCUAACGCAACUGGAGACAUAACAGAAAAUCUUGGGGUAGUAAUUGACAUUACAUGAUGGUGGUGCAAGCCGAAAUCCCAAGAGGAGGCUGGUGAACGAGAAGAGAAACCGUCAGAGGGAACUGUCAUCUGUCAACCCCCAGCUGACCAGGGCUGCUCCCUGCUUCCUCCUUCAUCACUCCCUCAACAGUGACAGGGGAUGGGGUGGAAUAACUUUGGGGCACACGAUGCAAAGGCGACCUGGCAAAGCCUCAGUAGCCCCUUCAAGGACUGUGUAACUCAGAUGGCUCAUCCUUUCUCCUGAUGGAGUUUCCUCUUUUACAAAAAGAUCUAGAAAAGCAGUGGCAUUAGCCUAGACUGUGCUGCAGUAACAACUUAAGCCCAGAUUUUUGUCUUAACGCAAUGAAAGUUUAUUCUUCCUUUUGUUAUGUGACCGAGGCAGGGUGUUGGUGAAGUUGGAGGUGGAGACAAGGGAAUUCUGCUCCAAGACCCCUGGUUGAUAGAGGCUCCGACGUUUGGAGCUGUAUCCCUGAGUCUUAGACCUCCAGCA